UACAGAGGGGGCAAGCGUUAUUCGGAAUUAUUGGGCGUAAAGGGCGCGUAGGCGGCUUUUCAAGUGACGGGUGAAAUCCCUCGGCUUAACCGGGGAACUGCGUCUGAUACUGGAUGGCUAGAGGUUGGGAGAGGGAUGCGGAAUUCCAGGUGUAGCGGUGGAAUGCGUAGAUAUCUGGAGGAACACCGGUGGCGAAGGCGGCAUCCUGGGUCGGUAUUGACGCUGAGGAGCGAAAGCCAGGGGAGCAAACGGG
rnacentral:rRNA from 1 species